rnacentral:tRNA from 1 species
GGAGGCGUGGCAGAGUGGUUGAUUGCACCGGUCUUGAAAACCGACGUGGGUCAACGCCCACCGUGGGUUCGAAUCCCACCGCCUCCGCCA